GAAACAGACGCCACAUUUCACUUAUUCUUCAUCCUUCGACAAAAUUCAAUAGGCGCUCAAAUCGUUUAUGCUCCUGUUUGACGUUUGGUCAUUACUGCCAUCUAGUGAGCGUUUGAACAAAAACAACGUGGUUAAGGCGGUUAUGGUUUCGUGAUGACUUUUUUAAUUGUUAUAUGUGAGAAGCAUUUCGUCUGUUUUUAUUUGGUAAAAUACACAAAAUUUAAUAUCACUCAAAUUUGCUAGAAAUCAUCAAGAUAUAUUUUCCGAAGGGCGGAUCACUACCAAAACAACUGAAUCGAAAAAGCGUUAGAAAAUUCUUGUUUUGUCCUAUUGCGUUUAAAAUGCAUUGAAAAUGCGUCAAAAAAUUCAAUGCUUUAAAAAAUGCACGAAAUACUCACGUAUUUUUAAACCCUAAUGCUCCAAUGCGCAACAAAUUUGCAUUUGCACAAAGGUGGUUUUUAAUGAAUUCAACAUUAUUUAUCACUAAAUACCAAACAUUAUCUAAAUUUUUAUCACAUUCGCUUUAUCAACAAGUUGUCUAAGGAAUGCCUUGAUCAAAAUUUGGGAAAAAUCGAUAUAGGCAUUUCCACAACAUUUUUCCGGAGAUCAAGUUUCUUAUUUUUUAAGGUUUUUUACGGAACAUAAGAACUACCACACAGUUUCUUAGCUUUCCUGAACGCAUUUAAUCUAGACAAACUUAUUUUUUCAGCUCAUUCGAUCCUUCAGAUGGCAAAGCUUGUCAUACCAUAAAAACGAAUGCAGUAAGCAGUAAUUAAGAAAUUCGUUUGCUUAACGUUUGUUGCUACUGGUGUUGUUGAGAAACUUGAAACAAAAAAAAAAUGUAUUGAGGAGGCCCGUAAUGGUGGUUCUUGAUCAAAUAUUCCAGUAAAAAUUACUCUUACAAAUCGAGAAAUAUCUUUUAUUAUUGAUACAGCAAUUUUUAUUGUGUUUGGAAAUAAAAUAUUUUUUUUCUGUGAGAUUUUUUUUCUUUUCUACUAUGCUACAUUUUUUGACCACUUUGUGCAACUUCAAAUUUUAAUCAUCUAGUUUACAGAGCCUUAUUUUUUUACUUGUACCAGAAACAUCAACAAAUUUGGCAUUAUUUACUACGUUAGCAUGUUUACUAUAAGAGCUAGAAGAAACUUUUUUGGAUUUAGUUCUCAAAUUGAAAUGGCAGUUUUUUUUAUUCCUGUUCGGGUUUGUCACUGCGACCAGUUUUUAGAUCUAUUGUGACAUUACCCGUAUCCUUAGUGUAGUGCAUGUCGCAUUACUCAAUUACCAUUGAGGGGCAAUAAAGUAUCGAUUUUGAUACAGUUUUUGUUUUGUUUUGUUAGAAAACAAAACAAGAGUACUGAUAUUGGUCAUGCAUCAGAAACCUAGCAUCACACUUGUUUUACUGCUAAAUUCUCCCAGGUUUAGGACCCGGGUUUUAACAUUAGCAGCAAUAUCAUUCCAAUAAUGGGACAUGUGUUCAGUAAUAAGGAUUCUAGUAUGUUCCUUGCGUGCCAAGGGCUGAAAGUCUCUCAAAUAAAGACAAAUCAAUCAAUCAAUGUUCCUUGCGUACUAGCACUUUCCAGUCUUCGAAGAGUUAGUACAUGCAUGGAUCCCUAACCCAAUUUGAUUUCCUUUGCAUUGAGUUUAGCCUCAGAUGGUAAGGUUUUUAGCUAUAUGCAAAGUAAAGUUGGUAAACUUAGUUUUAUUCAAAGAUUGGAAGUCAUCACAACACCAGUAGCAAGGACUAAAUACUAUAAUGCCUAUAAUUAUCAGAAAGGCUCCGUUAAAGCUCGAGCAUCUUUUAAACCCCCUCAACCAUUCAUCCCUCAGCACAGGUCGCCUGACACCUUGGAUUGGGGUUACCUGUUUGGUGGACUUUUACCCCCGGAACAGGUGGUCCGUAGUGCUAUUCUAAGCCGGCAGCUACACGGGCUGUUAAUCGUUAGUGUAUUUAUAAUUUCUGAAACAGUCUAUACAGGCGACUCUAUUAAACCUGAUUCUGUGUUAGAGCAUCAUUCACUAUGGUACGUCGUAGUAGGGAUCCAUUCACCGUGACGGUAAUUGGAACUCGCUUAGAAUAACUCAAUUUCGACUUUGGAGUGUGGGUGAGAUAUGGUUGGCAAAGGGUUCACGCAUUUGUGCGUAGAUGCCAGGCGUAAGGUGAUAUAUUUGUGUGAUUAUUACUAUGAAGCUAAAGUGGCACAGUUCCCUUGCAUAACUUGUAGGCGUUAUCUGAUAAGACUAACUAGGCUAUUUCUACAUGUCUCUGUUCUAGCGAUGGCUUUGAACAUGUGAAUAAACAUGAGUUGUAUAAGUAGAGAGGAGACCGAAAGUCCGUAGAAAGAUACAAAGUAGGAGUAAAGGGACGAGAUUGAACCCAGGACCUUCUGCAUACAAAUCAGAAGCGAUAGCCACUAAACCAUCAAGCCCGUUUUUUUUCCUUCAGGAAUCUAUCGUAAUGAGUAAAAUCAAUUAAUUCAGUUUACAAAUUCUUAGUUGAUGAACUUUGAUAAAAAAAAGACAAUUUUAUGUUGUUUCAUAAGCCCCUUGUUCUCUGCGCGAUCCAGGGUUGUGGAGCUGCCGCUGAUCACAGCACAGAGUUAACUUAGCAGCAGUUUCAUAUAUACGCAGUUUUUCAGAUUAUGGGUGCGAAAGGAAAGAAGAGUCCAAGUGAACCGGGUGGAGAGACAAGGGGUCUGCACUCUGUGACGGUCGGUCGGUCGGUAACAGUACACAGACAUCGUUCCAUACUCCUCGGCUCUUGGUGCUGCUCUAAUGAUAAUACACGCCAAGUAGGCAUUCACGGAUACAUAUCCGUGGUCAUUGAAAACGAAGAAAAAAACAUACACGUCUAUUACCUUUGUGUAAGCUCUGUUCUUGUUAUUUUUUUUGCAUUUUUUUAUAUUUUUGUCUUUAUGUGUACCACGGCUGGCAGCAGCGUUUUGAAGCUCCGGUUACAAGCGGAGGAAAACAAAAAGUACGAUCAUUACGCUCAUGCAUAACUCUUGCCUUGAAAAUAGAGACUAGAGCUUCUUCCUUAUGGUCGUUAAAUGAUGUAUGAAUGGAAGAAUGACGUAUGAGCAUUAUAAUUGCUUAUCGCGGAACCGCCAUGUGAAAGUUAAAAUUUUACUUUUAUCUGACCAGCGUACUGCAACACUAAGGUAGAUUCAAUGAUAAAAGCGGAGAACAACGAGAUAUGUAAAUAUUGCGAUGUGUUACAACAUAUUAUCGAUUGUAUUGUUUUACGCCCUCGUGUGAAAUAUCGACUGGAAGAAUACUGAACUGUUAUGCUAACGAAUUGUUUAGUAGAAUGAGUCAUUAGGCCUGUGUGCAUCUGACAUUUUUCCUUGUGAAAGCAAACGUAAGCGUGUGAAUUAGUGGUAGCGUGGAAUGCGUUGAUGUAGUUUCCCAGACUAGAUUGGAACAAUGAAAUUAAGCCUAAUGCACGCGAUCAGAUAUUGAAUACACAAACAAUGAUUAAAUCGUGCUUGAACUUAUAUGUGUGUAAGUCUAAAAACACGGCAAUGAUUGUGUUUUUUUUAUAGUUCUCUGUAAUUCGAUUGUAUUAAUGGGCGUGUGUAAAAAGUUGAUUGAAUGAUCUGAAUGUCUCAAAAUUUUAAGCUUUUUACAUAUAUAAAAUCAAGAUAAUAUUAUGUAUAUUUGUACAACUAAAGGCCGAGUACAGGUUUUCCAUAGCCUGGUGGUUCCAUAGCCUGGUGGCCAUGGAGAAACACUAGGAGAAAUUUCUUGGAAAAUCUCAGCAGGAAUUGCAUAGUAGAGACAAUUCUCACCGUCUUCAGCCAGAGGCUGCACAGACUGAACACAUUACUUACAUUAGUCAACGGACAAUACACAGAACACCCAGUGGCCCAGUGAUGAAUUUUUCGUUUUGACGAAAAGUUUCCGCCGACUGGAGCGGGAAUCGAACCCACACUCCGAGGCUUACGAUACGCCUAAACGACUGCCGCCGCUAACCGCACGGCCACGAAGCUCACCACCUAUAUAUACCCUGAAGCGAUUUUUUCAAAUAUUCCUAGAAUUUCUGAAUGUUCCUGUACCUAUCCCAGGAGAAGUUCUAGCAACAUUUUCAGAAGCAAUCCCAACAAAAAUUUCUGGAUGGAUCCCAAGGUAAUUUUUGUUGGAUUUCUGUACAAAAUCUCAAUUUUUUUUACAGAAAUCUUUGGAGAAAUUCUGCAGGAAUCAAAUAAGGGAUUUCUAGAGGAUGUCCUGCAAUUGUUCCUGGAAUAUCUGGAAGAACAGUUGGAGGAAUUCCAAAAGAAUUGUUGGAGAAAUCACUGCAUGAGUUUCUCUCGGAAUCCCAGUAGAAAUUUCUUGAGGAAUAUGUAUAUCCUGGAAUAUCUCAUUUUAGUAGAAAUUCUGGCAGACAUUUCUUGAAGAUUACAACCUGAAACUUUUAGUAAAAUUUCCUACAGUAAUCCCAGCAGAAAUUUCAGCAUUCCUAAGAGGAUGUUUUAAAAGUUCCAGAAUGUAGUCCUGGAUUUAUGACAACGAAGAUUCCUGGAUGAAUCCCAGAAGAAAUUCUUUGAUUGAAUCACUAGAAUAAAUCUCUGGAAGAGUUCCUCGUAGGAGUAAUUGGAAAAAUUCCUGGAGGAAUAUCCUGAACGAAAACUUUUGACAACAUUAAAAUGUAUUAGAAUAAAAACGGCUAUCGAUAAAGUUUUACUUGAUGAUAUUCUCAUAACAAUAAUUUUCUAUCUAAACUUUCUUCCUCAACAUACCUCGCAUAAAAUCUAUGAACUUUGCUGACGGGCAUAGCCCCUGAUUGUCUGUGUUCAGCCCUGCCAGCUUUAAUUCCAACGGAAUACGCACAACGGGUAAUAGGAUUCGGAAACAAUAAUUCUUCAACUUUUCUCGUAACACAUCGAUCCAAUGCCAAUCCCACACGUGGUCACAAACUCUUCAAUUUCAGGCCGCACAGCAGAGCCCCUUUUGCAAGUCCGAUAAAGUUGCCUCCAUGAUUAUAACAGGUUCUACGGGUAAAUAGCUCGCCGACCGACGAACGCUGUCGUCAUGUGUGCUCUUGAGGCACUUCUCUCCAUUACCAUGCUGCUGUUGCUGUUGCUGAUGCGGGGUUCCGUAUAUAGACGUGGGUUUUAUGUACCGUCAUACUCCUACUCCUCCCGCCCAUAGCUGCCGUCGCUCUCUAGCCCUGGGAUUGAAAAACAAGUUCUUUCCAGUUCUCCAACACGAUAUCCCGUUUUUGCUGCCGCUUCUGCUGAAACCCACAUAAAAAGCUGCUCGACAUCGUGUUGGGUACAUAGACCGAGAAAGGCAGAGAGAGAGUCAGACUAGCGCAGAGGAGUCAGGAGUUAUCCAAAGUGCUUUGGUCCGUCGCUCACUCAACAGCAGCAGCAGCAGCAGCAACACACCUAGCGAGACUCGAGAGAGAUGUAUCGAUUUUUCCAUUUAUAGCAGAAAUGAAAAUUUAUGUUUUAUGAGUU